rnacentral:rRNA from 1 species
UACGAAGGGGGCUAGCGUUGCUCGGAAUCACUGGGCGUAAAGGGCGCGUAGGCGGUCUUUUAAGUCGGGGGUGAAAGCCUGUGGCUCAACCACAGAAUUGCCUUCGAUACUGGAAGACUUGAGACCGGAAGAGGACAGCGGAACUGCGAGUGUAGAGGUGAAAUUCGUAGAUAUUCGCAAGAACACCAGUGGCGAAGGCGGCUGUCUGGUCCGGUUCUGACGCUGAGGCGCGAAAGCGUGGGGAGCAAACAGG